AGUGAUCUCAUGCAAAUCGAUACAUAAAAUAAUAGGUAUUUUCAAAAAAUACCAAUUUUCCAAUAUUGAUCCUUUCUCGAACAACGUACAAUUUCGGACGAUCGACUCAUCAGAUUUGCUUACGGCUUGCACCAGCACCUCCGGCACUGCUAGACUAUCAAAACUACAAUUUUGUUUCACCAGAAUCAGUCGCCAAUUCACAACAAAUUUAUACUCUUUCUGUCUCCACAUAAAUACCUAUAUAUAUAUAUACCUAUAUAUAUAUAUAUAUAUAUAUAUAUAUAUAUAUAUAUAUUUAAAUUCAAAUUGAAUUUCACCCAAAAAAUGAAAUUUCAAAUAUUACAUGUAACAUACCACAUCCCUCGUAAAUCGUGCC
rnacentral:lncRNA from 1 species